GAGAGAGAGAGAGAGAAUCGGGAAUAAGGGAGGGAAGGAAAGAAGGAACAGGUUAAGUAAGGUUAAGAUAGGAGUUUAUUAAAGGAAAGGAAGUAUGAAUAGGGAAAGGAAGGAAAAGGUUAACACGUUAGGUCAGGUUAGGUUAGGGGAGAAGGGAAGGAAGGGAAGUAUGAAUAAGGAAGGUAGGAACAGGUUAGGUAAGUUUAAUAUAGGAGUUUAUUAAAUGAAAGAAAGUAUGAAUAGGGAAAGGAAGGAAAAGGUGAACACGUUAGGUCAGGUUAGGUUAGGGGAGAAGGGAAGGAAGGGAAGUAUGAAUAAGGAAGGAAGGAACAGGUUAGGUUAGGUUAGGACACACGGAUACAAAGCUAAAAGGAAAGACUGUUUUUAGCAAGCGGAGGUCUUAAAGCUGAACGGGGGAAACAAACGACCUUGGAGGGAAACUUUAUAAUGAAGGAUCGCUGCCUGGGAAAAAAAUGGUGGUGGUGGUGAUAAGGAGUGGAGAUAGAGAGAGAUGGAGAUGAUAAUGGUGGUGGUGGUGGUGGUGAUGAAAAACGUGAUGGUGGUGAUGAAGAUGGUAUUGAUUGUGAUGUCGGUAAGACCAAUGCGUGGGAGAGAGAGAGAGAGAGAGAGAGAGAGAGAGAGA